CAAUAGUGUAUAUUAAAGUUGUUGCAGUUAAAAAGCUCGUAGUUGGAUUUCUGGCUCGGUUUGCUUUGUCCGCGUUCCAAAAGGGAUGUGUGUACGUUGCGAACGAGUCACAAUUUCCAGAGGUUGCGUCCGCUCUUGAUUGAGUCGGUCGUGUACGUCUGGAUCGUUUACUUUGAGAAAAUUAGAGUGUUCAAGGCAGGCAUGAGUUGCCGUGAAUAUGUUAGCAUGGAAUAAUAAGAUAGGACUUUGGUCGUAUUUUGUUGGUUUCUACAGCCGAAGUAAUGAUUGAUAGGGACGGUUGGGGGUGCUAGUAUUCUGCGGCCAGAGGUGAAAUUCUGUGAUUCGCGGAGGACUGACUUAUGCGAAAGCAUUCACCAAGGACGUCUUCUUUA
rnacentral:rRNA from 1 species